rnacentral:rRNA from 1 species
UACGUAGGGUGCGAGCGUUAUUCGGAAUUACUGGGCGUAAAGCGCGCGCAGGCGGUUUUGUAAGUCAGAUGUGAAAUCCCCGGGCUUAACCUGGGAAUGGCAUUUGGGACUGCAAGGCUGGAGUGUGGCAGAGGAGACUGGAAUUCCUGGUGUAGCAGUGAAAUGCGUAGAUAUCGGGAGGAACACCAGUGGCGAAGGCGACUACCUGGCCUGUUCUUGACGCUGAGGCGCGAAAGCUAGGGGAGCAAACGGG